rnacentral:ncRNA from 1 species
UAGAAAGCUAUGAUGAAGAGGAGUAGUCAAUAGGUAUUAUUUAAGCGAGCUAGGGAUGGUGGGAGCCUAGUAUAAUCCGUUGAUGAAGGGCGCUUCUGAGCAUUCUUUUAAAGAGGAUGCCAAAUGGCAUCAAAUAGGGUGGAACCGCGGAAGGAACCUUUCGUCCCUAUG